rnacentral:ncRNA from 1 species
UCAUCCCAGUGCCCUCUUCUUGUCAUCCCAGUGCGUGACACUGGGAUCUAAUUUUUUAUGCAAAAUUAUUAUAUUUAUAUACUUGCAAAUAGAUACAAUUUGAAAUAAUUUAUACUAUGAAGUUACGAAAUGAGAUCCCAGUGUCACGCACUGGGAUGACACCUCUCUUGGGCUCCUU